rnacentral:rRNA from 1 species
GAUGAACGCUGGCGGCGUGCCUAAUACAUGCAAGUCGAGCGAACAGACGAGGAGCUUGCUCCUCUGACGUUAGCGGCGGACGGGUGAGUAACACGUGGAUAACCUACCUAUAAGACUGGGAUAACUUCGGGAAACCGGAGCUAAUACCGGAUAAUAUAUUGAACCGCAUGGUUCAAUAGUGAAAGACGGUUUUGCUGUCACUUAUAGAUGGAUCCGCGCCGCAUUAGCUAGUUGGUAGGGUAACGGCUUACCAAGGCAACGAUGCGUAGCCGACCUGAGAGGGUGAUCGGCCACACUGGAACUGAGACACGGUCCAGACUCCUACGAGAGGCAGCAGUAGGGAAUCUUCCGCAAUGGGCGAAAGCUUGACGGAGCAACGCCGCGUGAGUGAUGAAGGUCUUCGGAUCGUAAAACUCUGUUAUUAGGGAAGAACAAAUGUGUAAGUAACUAUGCACGUCUUGACGGUACCUAAUCAGAAAGCCACGGCUAACUACGUG